AUGAAGGUCUUAACUUGCCUAAAGAUCCAAGAACACUUAUGUCCACUUUAAAAGACUGUGAAGUAAAAAAAAUGGGGAGUGGAAGUUACUAUAAUUUUGGCAUUUGUAAUGCAAUAUGCGCAGAGCUUAAGAGUGCACAAGUUGAACUCACAGACACAUUAACUCUAAGACUAAAUGUUGAUAGAAUACCGCUUUUCCGUAGUUCUAAUGCACAGUUAUGGCCCAUCCUUGGUAAAAUUAAGGAGCUACCAAGCUCAAAAGUGUUUAUGAUAAGUCUGUAUGCUGGCCCAUCUAAACCACCAUCAGUUCAUGAGUACAUGAAAGAUGUUGUUGAGGAAUUUAAAAGACUAACAAAGGAAGGCUUGUACUUCAAUGAGAAACAUUACAGUGUUCCCUUGCCUGAUGCAUUUAUAUGUGAUGCUCCUGCGCGAGCUUUUCUCAAAUGUAUAAAAGGUCACUCGGGUUACAGCUCUUGUGAGCGUUGUGUGCAUCCUGGUGUUCAUUUAAAUGGAAAAAUAGUGUACCCAGACAUGGAAGCAGCCUUGAGAACAGAUGCCCAGUUUGAUGAAAUGUUAGAUGAGGAACACCAUCGUGAUAUGUCACCUCUUCGGGAGUUGGGAGUAGGUUUAGUGACAUCUUUUGUCCUUGAUUACAUGCAUUUAGUGUGCUUAGGAAUUGUCCGUAAGCUUGUUUCACUGUGGGUUAAGGGACCCUUGACAUGUAGGAUUUCAUCAAGUGUUCUUUCUGUUGUAUCUGAGAACUUGAAACGACUUAGGCAAAAUUUGCCUAGGAAUUUCUCAAGAAAACCACGGUCCCUUUAUGAAUAUAGUCAAUGGAAAGCCACAGAGUUUAGGCAGUUUUUGUUAUAUACUGGCCCUGUUGUGUUGUUCAAUGCAUUUCCUAAACGUGUAUAUAAGAACUUUUUAGUCUUAUCAGUUGCCAUAAGAAUUCUUUUGUGUCCAGAUUUGUGCAGUGUCUAUUGUGAUUAUGCUGAAAAGUUACUGAAGUUUUUUGUCACAAAUUUUGGCAAAAUCUAUGGAUCUGAGUUUCUUGUAUAUAACACUCACAGCCUUACACAUUUGGCACAAGAUGCUCGCAAAUAUGGUGCUCUUGACUCUGUAUCAUGCUUUCCAUAUGAAAACUAUUUAGGACAAUUGAAAAGGAUGGUUAGGAGACCUCAAAAUCCUGUUGAACAAAUUGUGAGACGUGUGGAUGAGAAACAAGCUUUUAAGAGGGACUCAAAAGGAUGUUCAACAAUGGAAGAAAAUCUUAAACAGCCACAUUUCUCUGGACCUACUCCACUAGGAUUUUCCACAUACAAACAGUUUAAGCAAUGCCAAUACAAAGGAAUGACCAUCUCCUGCUCUCCGGGAAACAACUGCUUUGAAAUUAAUAGCAGAGUUGCCCUUGUUAGAAAUCUUCUGGUUUCUCCCAUGGCAGACAUUUUUGCAGUAUGUGAGUUUUUUAAUACAGGAGCAUGUUUUUUUGACUACCCUGUCACUUCUUCAAGUUUGGGGAUUACUGUCGUCUCAGCACUCACUGGUCAGCUUUUUGUUGUUCCAGUGGCACAACUUUCAAAAAAACUUGUUCUUCUCCCUAUGACUGAUGUGUAUGUGGCUUUGCCUCAGCUGCAUGAUUACUGACUCUGUACUUUAAUGGUUCAGGAUGUCCCUUUAUAGUGUAGUGGAGUUCAUUGAUGAGUACACAGACAAUGGAAGGACUGUCAUUGAUGUCAUCCCUACAAGCUGGAUUACUGGUCCAGGAAGAGAAGAAUGCUUUUGGCCAACUGGUAGGACUGUGGACAUCAGCAAGGCUGUUAAAAAACGGUUAACUCCUGGAGCAGACUGGGAAAAGUACAGCAUACGUGUCUUAGGAAAUGCAGAGACGUAUUCUGCAGCAAGAGCUAAACUUAGUAAGGCCGAGGAGACCUCAGAUAUACAAACUGACAUUGAAGUGCCAAUGAAGCGCAAAAGAUUGCCAAAUAGAAAAUUUUUUCCUUUCACCAGCGAAGAGUCAGACAGCACUGAGGAUGAACUACCACCCACACCUCCCCAUCAACUAAAAAUUACAACCCAAAAGGUCACCACCAAGACAAUGGAUGGCCAGACUGAAACUGGACCUUCC